UGAAUACAUAGGUUAACGAGGCGAACCGGGGGAACUGAAACAUCUAAGUACCCCGAGGAAAAGAAAUCAACCGAGAUUCCCCCAGUAGCGGCGAGCGAACGGGGAGCAGCCCAGAGGCUGAAUCAGCUUGUGUGUUAGUGGAACGGUCUGGAAAGUCCGACGGUACAGGGUGAUAGUCCCGUACACCAAAAUGCACAGGCUGUGAACUCGAAGAGUAGGGCGGGACACGUGGUAUCCUGUCUGAAUAUGGGGGGACCAUCCUCCAAGGCUAAAUACUCCUGACUGACCGAUAGUGAACCAGUACCGUGAGGGAAAGGCGAAAAGAACCCCGGCGAGGGGAGUGAAAAAGAACCUGAAACCGUGUACGUACAAGCAGUGGGAGCACCUUCGGGUGUGACUGCGUACCUUUUGUAUAAUGGGUCAGCGACUUAUAUUCUG
rnacentral:rRNA from 1 species